rnacentral:rRNA from 1 species
AACGAACGCUGGCGGCAUGCCUAACACAUGCAAGUCGAACGAGACCUUCGGGUCUAGUGGCGCACGGGUGCGUAACGCGUGGGAACCUGCCCUUAGGUUCGGCAUAACUCCCCGACAGGGGUGCUAAUACCGGAUAAUGUCUUCUGACCAAAGAUUUAUCGCCUUUGGUUGGGCCCGCGUUGGAUUAGCUAGUUGUUAGGGUAAAAGCCUACCAAGGCGACGAUCCAUAGCUGGUCUGAGAGGAUGAUCAGCCACACUGGGACUGAGACACGGCCCAGAAUCCUACGGGAGGGAGGAGUGGGGAAUAGUGGAAAAUGGGCGAAAGGCUGAUGCAGCAAUGCCGCGUGAGUGAUGAAGGCCUUAGGGUUGUAAAGCGCUUUUAACCGGGAUGAUAAUGACAGUACCGGGAGAAUAAGCCCCGGCUAACUCCGUG